rfam:Brachypodium distachyon strain Bd21 chromosome 2, whole genome shotgun sequence.
AUAUUACUCCUUCCGUCCAACAAAAGAUGUCUCAAGUUUUUUAAAAUUUGGAUGUAUCUAGACAUGAUUUAGUGUAUAGAAGCAUUCAAAUUUAAUCAAAGUUGAAUCAUCCUUUGUUGAACAGAGAGAGUAUUGC